CCGAUGAUGCUCUUGUGUGAAUCAAUGAUUCAUUUGAACCAUUCUCUGAUAAAAAUUCGAGGUUUUUCUGAGAUCGAAAGAUCGAUGAUUUUUUUUUGGUUCUGUUAGGGUUCCUUCGAGCCUCUAUCUUCACGAUUUGUGACCAUUCCUUCUUUAUUGAACGGUUCAAUCGUUUAUUGUGAAAUUUUCGGAGAUUUUCCGGUGAGUUUUCAACCUCUAGGGUUUUCUGGUGGUCAAAACAGUUGUUUGAUUGCCAUCCGGUGGUUUGAUACUCAUUUUGCUGAGGUUUUGGUGGUUGUCACUACUGUUGCGACAUCAUUGACGGUAUUUGCGGUAAAGUUUUGACGGUUACUUCUA
rnacentral:lncRNA from 1 species